CCAAGUUAUCCUGAUGGGAGCCGUCGAGGGUUACCGUGUUGCUGGUGGACCCCUCGGUGACGUUACUGACCCCAUCUACCCGGGAGGCUCCUUCGACCCCUUGGGUUUGGCUGACGACCCCGACACCUUCGCUGAGUUGAAGGUGAAGGAGAUCAAGAACGGCCGAUUGGCCAUGUUCUCAAUGUUCGGGUUCUUCGUCCAGGCCAUCGUGACUGGAAAGGGACCCCUGGAGAACUUGAACGACCACUUGGCCGACCCCGUUGCCAACAACGCCUGGGCCUACGCCACCAACUUCGUUCCCGGAAACUAACUUCUCAAUUUGACGAAAUGAAGUCGAAAUGUGUACUAUAAUGUGCAGUUCACUAUCCUCUUGCUCCUACUUCGGCUGAUAAUAAAAAUCGAUUUCUG
rnacentral:lncRNA from 1 species